UCCGUUGACCCAGAUCAGGUGCUGCCGGCCCUUUGCAGCCGGCGCCGCGCUGCCCUUGAUCUGGAUCAAUGGCGUCAGGCGCUGCGCUGUUAACGUAGCCCCAUACCCGAGCAACGGAUGCAGGAGGCAGCAUGUUCGUCGAUGUGGUGGUUCUCGCCGGUAUCGGCACCGUGGGGCUGAUGGUUCUGUUCUGCGCCGGGUUCACGUAUUUCAUCUGGAGAGACGCGAGCAAGAAAAAGCCGCGCUGAAUCCGGAUUCACGAGCACGCAAGGCAUUGGGGCGACUUCGGUCGCCCUUU
rnacentral:misc_RNA from 1 species